GAUGAACGCUGGCGGCGUGCCUAAUACAUGCAAGUCGAGCGAACAGACGAGGAGCUUGCUCCUCUGACGUUAGCGGCGGACGGGUGAGUAACACGUGGAUAACCUACCUAUAAGACUGGGAUAACUUCGGGAAACCGGAGCUAAUACCGGAUAAUAUAUUGAACCGCAUGGUUCAAUAGUGAAAGACGGUUUUGCUGUCACUUUAGAUGGAUCCGCGCCGCAUUAGCUAGUUGGUAAGGUAACGGCUUACCAAGGCAACGAUGCGUAGCCGACCUGAGAGGGUGAUCGGCCACACUGGAACUGAGACACGGUCCAGACUCCUACGGGAGGCAGCAGUAGGGAAUCUUCCGCAAUGGGCGAAAGCCUGACGGAGCAACGCCGCGUGAGUGAUGAAGGUCUUCGGAUCGUAAAACUCUGUUAUUAGGGAAGAACAAAUGUGUAAGUAACUAUGCACGUCUUGACGGUACCUAAUCAGAAAGCCACGGCUAACUACGUG
rnacentral:rRNA from 1 species